rnacentral:lncRNA from 1 species
AAAUCCACUCCGAAAAAGAACCUGGUCUUGGACCCUUGUCUUGCAAAGUCAGAUGAUGAGUGAGUACAGUGCUGUCACUUAGGAACCUUAACUGCAGUGGAAGGUUUGGCUUUUUAAUACAAUUUAUAUUUAUGAGAAAUUUGAACUAAUAUAAGAUCAUCAAAAUAAUUUAGGUCAGAUAAGAACUGGUGUGAGCAAAAACUGAACAGCUGUAGGGUUUAAGUCCUAAUUUUGCAAAACACCUAAGUUCUAACUUGGUUUCAGGGGCAGGGCAGGCCGUGGUUCCUGCAUUAAGUCCCUAAGUCACAUUGAAGAAUGUUAUUGCAUGUCACUCGAGGCUAUCUAAUGCGCUGUGUUCUGUAAAACUGGGCUUGAUCUAGGGCAGAAUUGAGUGCAAGCUAGAUUGAAGCACAAGCUGUGGUAUUCAUUCCUAUUAAGCUUUACCAGCUGAGUGGCUGCAGAAGACAACUGUGUUAAGUGUGGUGAGAAGGCUGUAUUAAACUGGGUUUGAGCUGGAGUUCAUAGUUUCUGGGUUUUUUCUACCACAGUGGGUGAAAAUAAAGUUUGAGUAGCACGUCUAGUUGUAACAGUCACAAACUAUCCUGAAUAUCAGCAAGUGUCAUCCAGACAAGGAAAAUAACCAAUAUUAUAUUUUGUCAUUAACUUUAAAGCACAGGGCACAGUCAAAACUUUAAUACAUUUGACAAGUUUUGAAUCUUUUUGUAAGAGUAUGGAAGUUAUUCAUCCAGUAUCAGUGCUCCUUACUCAGUGCUGUAUCUGACUGAAGUUUCAUAAUGAAGUCACUCAAAAUUAGGUAGCUGUUGCAAAUGGAGAAAAUCAGUCACUUUGCAUUAAAUGUUCUUUAAUACAUAGAAAAUUCAUUUUGGUAUUACUGCAUGCACUAUAUGAGGAUAGUAAUGCUUUUAUGCUUUACUUCCAGUUCAAGAGAAAAACAAACAAAGAACAACAUUUGAAUCCCCAUUUCAAAAAAUUCUCUGGCAAGGAGAAACACUGAUCAAAGAAUUUUUUCCAAGUAUARAUCAAGACAUGCAUUAUCUAGGCACAACUUCCCUGAAGCAGUAAAGGAUGCAGUUGAUAAAUUUGCUGUGAAAUGUGGAAGCCCCUGGUUCAAUCAGGAGGUGAUGACCCAGGAUGAGGACAACAGAAGGACUGAGAACAACAAAGAGCUCCAGAAAUUAGAAGCAGAUAUUUCUUUUGGAACAUAAGGUUUACAGCUCUUCAGACAACUCCAGAAUCCAGAUCAAUGUGUUGUUCCUGUUACUCAGAGGAAUAUUUCUUCCUUUUCUGAUAUCGUAAGUCAGCUCUUGGUCUCAAACAGAUGUUA